rnacentral:rRNA from 1 species
GAUGAACGCUGGCGGCGUGCCUAAUACAUGCAAGUCGAGCGAAUGGAUUAAGAGCUUGCUCUUAUGAAGUUAGCUGCGGACGGGUGAGUAACACGUGGGUAACCUGCCCAUAAGACUGGGAUAACUCCGGGAAACCGGGGCUAAUACCGGAUAACAUUUUGAACCGCAUGGUUCGAAAUUGAAAGGCGGCUUCGGCUGUCACUUAUGGAUGGACUCGCGUCGCAUUAGCUAGUUGGUGAGGUAACGGCUCACCAAGGCAACGAUGCGUAGCCGACCUGGGAGGGUGAUCGGCCACACUGGGACUGAGACACGGCCCAGACUCCUACGGGAGGCAGCAGUAGGGAAUCUUCCGCAAUGGACGAAAGUCUGACGGAGCAACGCCGCGUGAGUGAUGAAGGCUUUCGGGUCGUAAAACUCUGUUGUUAGGGAAGAACAAGUGCUAGUUGAAUAAGCUGGCACCUUGACGGUACCUAACCAGAAAGCCACGGCUAACUACGUGCCAGCCGCCGCAGUAA